UGGUGUAGCUCAGUUGGCUAGAGCAGCUGAUUUGUAAUCAGCAGGUCGGGGGUUCGAGUCCCUUCACC
rnacentral:tRNA from 1 species